GAUAUGGGGGAGCGUUUGCUCGGGCUAAUUUAUCACCUUUCUUGUGGUCCCCCGCCCUCCGGUUCCUGUGAGAGAAGCCUCGCGAGAUUGCCUAAGGCAGUCCCCAGUGACGCCAUCUUUGUCCCUGGCGAUCUACGGCGCCCGACGGAAGUCCUAAAGCCGGCGGCAGCCCUAAAACCGGCAGCUAGCUUGCCAAACUCCCCUAGACCGGAUCCAGGAACUACGAGGCGGGCCUCGGUGGGAGGGACGCGCAGAGAGAAGAGGGAGGGAAGGGGGCGGCGGCGGCGGCUCUCACCGGAUCUGGGCUCCGCGCGGCGCGAACCCGAGGGGGGUCGGGCGGGGAAGCUGCGCCGGCCCGGACCCCCCCGCGGGAGAAGACGACUGGCGUGAGGGCGAGACGAGGCGGCGGCAGCGGACUGGGAGCAGCGUCUACCGGGUGUGUCUGCGAGUAGGGAGGCCUGGCACCUGCCCUAGCCUGGGCGUCGUGGGUAUCCCAGGGAUCGAACUCUGGACCUUGUGCUUGCGAGGCAGGAGGCAGGUGGCGGAACUACUGAG
ensembl:lncRNA